AUUUGAAAUUUGGAGUUGGAGGAUUUUUUAAAAAGCUAAAAAGCUUUUAAAAAUUAUAUUUUACAUCCCAAAGUUAUCACCAUUUUUAAUUUAACACUUUUUUGUCACCCCCACCUAAUUUUAUCAGGAAACCAAACACUACGAAGAAAUUUGAGAUGAGCACCGACAGGGCAAAGGUGAAAAGGUCGAAGAAGCAUCAGAAGAAGCAUCAGAGCAAUAUGAACCCAUGUUUGUGUAUGAGGAUUUGAAGCCAUACCCGAAGCUGGUCAAAACGAGAAAAUAGAACAGUGCAAGAAGACCCUUGUAGCAUAUUUACAAGAGAGAAAUUAUGCUCUACCUUCUCUCUAAAAUAACUUCACCUAGCACUACCUGUAAAGUAACAUUACCUACUGUAUAUUAAGAUGGACACCCCAAUACCCUUACCAACUGAACCUAUGCAACUUGAACCUCCUGUUAAUACCUCUUUCCGAGAUAAACUACUACAGAAUACCCUGCUACAAGGACUGCAACAUGGUUCUACAUCUGCCGAAGAAAUUCUGGACCUACAGGAUGAAAUUACCCCAUUACAGUCAACGGAUAAUUUCGUUCCAAUCACAGCUACAGACAAGAGUAGGUUGUACCUGCUAUGGCGCUACACGAUUAUAAUCAAGGUAAUAGGACGCAAGAUAGGCCAUGAAGUACUGAAACAAAAACUGACUACACUAUGGAAGCCCUCUGAGGAGAUCUCAUUAAUUGACUUGGGUGCAGAUUUUUUCUUAAUCAAGUUUCAGUUUGAACAAAACAUGAAUCAUGCUUUACAUGACGGACCAUGGUUCUUAUUUAAUAAUUUUCUCUCAGUACAACGAUGGGAACCUAAAUUUGUUGCUUCUAAGGCACGAAUUGCUGGUUCAGCGAUAUGGAUACGAUUACCAGAGUUGCCUACGGAAUUCUAUGAUCUUGAUAUUCUUCAUAAGAUAGGCAAUAAAAUUGGUACGCUUCUAAAAAUCGACAACUGCACGUCCUCAACUUCUCGGGGCAGGUAUGCGCGACUAUGUGUCCAGGUACCCUUAGAGCAUCCCCUGCAACACCAUGUCUACAUUGGCACCCAUAAGCAACUGAUCCUUUAUGAAGGAGCCAACUCUCUUUGCACCAAGUGCGGCAGGCUAGGACAUAAUACAUCAAAAUGUACCUAUACCAUUGCUCACGACCCUGACAAGCCAGUGGAAUCUUCAGACAUUUCAAAGCCUCCAGACGAAUGGAAACUACUGCAAUUUACACCUAAAACGACUCAACGACAACAACUCGGGCAAGGGAAGGCUUUGAGCCAGCAACCACACGUUAAGGAAUCGUUCAAAGGUAAGUCGGCAUCAUUACAUCCACCGGAGAAGUGCUCCUUCCAGAACCGACCUGACGCAGGUAAGUCUACAGCAUAUAAAGGUAAGAACCAGUGGAAUGCUGCCACGCGUAAGCCCUUUAAUAAUUCUUACUUUGCUUCACUUAGGAUUGAUGAAGUGCAUAAUAAUCAAAAUGUGACUAAAGUUGGUAAUAAUGAUGGUUGUCCUGAUGUCGGCCAAAUUCUAUCUAACAAAGAUAAACUUUAUACUUCUGACCUGUCAAAAAAGCUGACACGACCCUUACUCCACUAUUAAUAAAUCCUCCUGGAAUUAAGGGGCACGUAAGCCCUGCUGAAGCCCCAACUUCGUCCCCACCUGGACCCCUCGUGGCAGACAUGCAUAUUCCAUCUCUCAUUCCAUGCCCUAAUAUCUCCUUGGAUCUAUCCUCUUUAGCUUCGAAUGAUUGCAACCCACGUGAUUUAUUCCUACCUGACAACUCCAAUUGGCUCUCAAAGAAGGCAAACCAUGCAAAUUCUCAUGAAGCCCAUGCGCCUAUAAUUGACCCUGACUUCUCUCUUAGUUCAGAUCCAACCUCUGCUCUAUAUAAUGCUCCAUGCGACCCUCCCUUGUCCAUUCAGAGGCGUUCACAUCCACUUAAAACCCACUCCUCUCUUCCAUCUAUUAUUGAAAUCACCAAUGGCGGAGAACAAUCCACAACGUCCAGUAUACACGACUUCGAGCCCUGCAAUAGCUGCUCCUCCUCAAUCGUGGCUCGAGGUGGCGCUGACGGGACACGCACUAACUUUUACGAUGCAAUGUGGCCAGACAGGAGACUCUAGUGAUGAUACAAAAUCCAAAGGACUUAGCUCAGAUCAUUCAGAGGGUAUGAAGCUCGGAUUGGAGACUUAUGGCCAAUACCAUUGGUUUGCGAUCCCACCAACGGUUCCGAAUCCGCUGCAGGCCUCAGCGUCAAACAUCGAACCUCCUGUAGUGAACAAUCUGCUGCUCCCGAAUCUUCCGUUCUACCCACAACCUCCAACAGAGGCGGAGGUUGUGCCUUGGAUCCAACAAUAUAUGAUAUCUGCACUAGUGGAUCCGACGCAGGAACAUCUGCAUGUACCACCAAUGCACCAAGAGAGAGUAGCUCAGGACAUGCAGGGCAUGCCUGGGGAGACGUUAGACUCAGAGAGCUCAUCCACGUUCAUGGGCCAGGUACGAGUCUUUCUCCUCAGAGAAUUCUUCGCAAAAAAAAAUAAACAUGCCUCCUCCAAAGAAUGGGUAGUCCUGAUAUAUGUCAUAUCUACAGGGAACAGAACAGACUAGCGGAUGCUUUAGUAUCUACUAUUACUACUACUACUGCUUUCAUGCAUAACUCCCCGGCUACAGUUAUGCUUUUUUGGGAAUCUCCACCAUCCAUCAUGGAUAUUUUGUGUGCCGACCAACGUGGAGAUUUGACAACCCGUAGGGUGAAAUACUCACCUAUAGAUCAGGAUGUACAUAAUAUAAGUGUUGUUGAUGUUGUACAUAUUCCUACUAGCCUAGCUAGAGCUACUUCUGCUAGCUCUUCUGUAGUGGCUAUGCCACAGAAACUGUCCCUGUAGAACUUUUGUUAAAAAAAAAGCAUAUUUACAACCUA